UGAAGAUGUUAAAUUCAGAGAUGUGUGUAGGAAAUGCAUGGUUCUUCAGGAGUUAGGCUCAUGUUUAAUGUCAAGUCCUUUCCACAACUGGUACUCAUCUGUCAAAAUAAAAUUGGUAACUCCAGUUCAUCUCGAAUGAUCUGAUUUUACCAGAGGUAUGUUGUUUUCUAAAUGCCAGUGCCAUAGCACGGAUAGUAAAGAUGAAGUUCUUUAGCAACAGUAGCACUUUGCUUCCUUUUUAGCAGCCUGGAAUUUGGCACGAUAGCUCAUCCAUUGUAAAUAUGCCUUCAAGUGUUGGAGAGAUUUAUCUACAACAAGCUGUUAGCCUCGUCUCAUAUUAGAAAGGCCACGCUGACACAAUUCAGUUUGCCAGGAGUUUGGGAGCCUUUUUUUCUCUCUCUUUUUUUUUUUUUUUUUUUUAAUGGAAGGCUUCAAGAAUACUUUUGAAUAGACACAAAAUACUUGAGGAAGGAAAAGUGGAGGCUGAGUUAGCUACUGGUUCCUAAGAAGCUUUAGAUAAGAACUAGACUUGGAAGGGAGUGUAUUUGUGAAUAAUGCCUGUACAAACAAAUACGUGCAUACACAAGCCAAGAAAUAUCUACUGCCUUCUCUCUUACAAUCUGCUGUAUGUUGCAGUCCACUGAAAUAUAGAAAUAUGAACAUAAGAGUGCUUGUGAUGAGGAAACCUCAUGGCUGUUGUCUGGCCAAGAGACCUUGGCCACCAUCUGCUGCCAAAAUGGCUUCAAUGCUACAGCCUACCUUUAUGCCGUCUGCCAUUCAGGUACAAUAGUUUAAUAAAUUAGGAGUUACACGUGACCUUUUGACUUGCCAAAUACUAAUCUCUCUGUUGCUUAAAGAAACCCUUCUCUCUUCAGUCACUGUCCCAUGCUACUUCUGGAAGAAAACCUCAAAUAUACUAGCACAAGUCAGAAAACAUCAGUCAGUCCUUACAAAAAUAAUAGUUCUCCUGAACUAGUGGAGCUGUAAAUUGCAGUAUUUAUCAAGCUGCUGUUACUGAUGACUGACUUGUUGUGUUAUAACUAACUUCAAAAAAUUGCUCUUCCACCAUGACAGCAACCACGGUGUGGGUUUUAGCUCAAAGAUAUGAUUUCCCCAACACAUCUUCAGCUGUGAAAAUAGAGCAGCUUAGGGUUUGUAAUUCAGUGCUAUAUCACAGACUGCUUUUUCUGUUGUGAAACCGUGUGCAGCAUUAAGUGAAUAACCAACUUGUACCCUUCAAAGUUGCAGGGAUAGCAUGGGCCACCCAUCCACUGCUCUUGGUGGCAGGCAGACAGGGAGAAGGAAACCUGUCACUAACCACCUGACAUCCUAAAAGAAUCCCAGGCACACUGGGCAGAGCUGUGGGGUAAGACCAGGUUGUGAGGCCCAUUUGUGGAAACAGCAGGACCCCCAGCCUGCUUUGGGGGUUUUUUAGCUUACACUUUCUUCCCACUGAAAUUUAAGGAAAACUUAUGGUAAAGCUCAAGAGAAGCAAUAAACAUUCAUCUGAACAUUUUUUCUUUACUAACAUGUAAAUGGGCAGCCCAGGUACUAAGGGGGGUUAACUACUUGCCCUGUAAGGAAGCUGUCAUUCUAUAAAAUAAUUUGGAAUUCUAGCUUAGAGUUAUAAUUAAAAUGAACAAGUAAGGCAUCUGCUGUUUACACUGUCCUCCAAGAUCUGCUGUGUGCUCUCCUUCUGGACCAUCUGUUUGAAACAGGGAUGUCUGGUAAGAGAAGAGAGCCUCCAGUCCAACGUGAAGUGCAGUACUUCCUACAGAUGAAGCCUUCCAGGCUGCAAGCACACACUGCUGGCUUGUGUCUAGCUUUUUGUCCAUCAGGACCCCUAAGUCCUUCUCCACAGGGCUGCUCCCAAAGCGUUCUUUUUCAAGUCUGUACAUAUAUCUGGAAUUGCCUUGACCCCAGUGCAACACCUUGCUUUUGGCCUUGUUGAACCUCAUUAGAUUCUUGUGUGCCCACUUUUCAAGCCUGUCCAGGUUGCUGAGAAUGCACUCAAUCCCACUGCCUAUGUUGUUGAUAAAGGUGUUGAAGGGCACUGGUCUCAAGAUGGACCCCUGAGGGACAUCACUUGUCACCAGCCCCCAUCUGGACCACAACACUCUGGCUGUGACCAUCCAGUCAAUUCCUUAUCCAUUGAACAGUUCCCUCUUCAAUUCCGUAUCUUUUCAAUUUAGAGAUAAGAGUAUGCUGUGGACCACGUCAAAGGCCUUGCAGAAGAUCAGGUAGAUGACAUCAGUCAUACCUGCUUUGUCCACCAAAGCCAUCACUCUGCUGUAGAAGGCUACCAGAUUGGUCAGACAUGAUCUGAUCUUGGUGAAGCUGUGUUAUUUCAGACUACUUCCUCAUCUUGUACGUGACUUAACAUUGCUUCCAGAAAUAUCUGCAUGAUCUUCCCAGGCACAGAGGUGCUGCCAGCAGAGGUGUUCAACAUCAGAAGGCAAGAUCUCCUUAGCCACCAACUAUUCCACAGGCCCAAAGCUGAAUCAGUCUUCCCAGAAGAGAGAAGAUGUGUAUGCAAGCACGCGGCAGGGGGCUGGGGAAUACCUCUAGGCCAGCUUGUUGUGUGAAGGAUACCUCACAGUUUGGGUUCAAUGUGAUCACCCUGUCCUGGUGUUCCUGCAGAGAGUGCCAAGUGACAAGGUGUCACUGAGCUGCUGCAUGGCUAUCUGUCUUCUGCCUGGAUUUGGGUAGCCGUAGGCAGAUGCUCAGUGUAUGAUUCCUAGUAGGGUCAUACCUAAUUGUGAAGAUGCAUACAGCAGUGCACGGUUAACUAAGGAAUACUGCAGCUCAGGUCACUAAGGUUUAUCUUCAGGCUUUCUCUGGAUGAUUUCUUACUUUCCUCCUCUGCUGCCACCACGUGGACAUGCCACUGUGUUCCUUCAGGGUUCAGAUGCAGCUUAGAGAAGGAUGUGUUCCAUCCUUGAUUGUAUCACGGCUUUUAACUGUACAACACAUGUUUCUUCGUUUGCUGUCAAAUAUAGCUGGGAGGAACUUCUGACGCAUUUAAAUAACAAAGCGAGGAGAGAGGCUUUUCAUCAUUUUUUCUCUUUGCCAUUUUUCUGUUGAAAGAUUUCCAGCAGCUAUGCAUUUUUCAACACUCUGGAAAAGGUUAUGUAGAGUAACUGAGUUUGCAUAGCAAGUUACAAAUCUCAGGCAGAAGUUUUGCAGACAUCUCAAUCAAGAGCCAGGCUCAAUUUUGCCUGAGCAAAAAUUUUUCCAAAGGGCCAUUUAUGAGGCAAUUAUGUGCAGAAGAAACCGUGUCGCUGAAGGUUGAUUGACUGACUGGCUUCUACGUGCCAUACAUUCAGUUCUGAACAUCGCACUUGGGGCUCUACACCAUUUGUGUGCUCCUGGAAAUACGCUUCUGUGAGCAGAACUCUAUUAAAACUGCCAGCAUGGACUUCUGGAGGAGGAGAGGGACUAAUGAAGAUGCCUGGUGCAACUCGUAGUUUUGUUUCAGAAGAGUAUUGGUGCAGUAGUGCAACCUGUGUCCUAUUGACCUUGGGGCCAAAGCUAAUAACAGCAUUUGGAAUUGGACAUGGGGAUGAUCUAAUUUGAGAUCAAACUACAGCUUCUUUUCUUUUUGUUCGUUUCUUUGUUUUUCUAUCUGUA
ensembl:lncRNA